GCCUUCCCUUUUAUCCCAUUCAGCUGAAAGCAGCUUCCUGCAGUCCGCACCUCUACUGCAUGGCACCAUGCAACAAGGCUGGCUAAAGGGGGAUACCACCUUGCUUUGUCAGCAGUUGGCUUGGGGUCCUGCUGGGGUUUACGGUGUGCAGACCACAACGUGGGCUUCAUCUGCUCGGCACGCCAGCACAGGGGUUUGAACUGCCUUUGACAGCACCUCAUGGAGCCACAUUGGUGUGAUCCAGGGCAGUGAUACACAGCAACCCUGCUGGGGGCUGACACACCAGGGCUCAGCACUUCCAGCUGCUUUGCUGCAAUGCCUCCCCACGAGCCCACCCCGGCGGGUCCCCAGCAGGAGGCCAAUCCUGGGAACAGAGGACUGCAAGUCGGUGCCGCCGCUGCCGGUUAUCUGCCCAGCCCUGGCAUCCCGCCUCGAGAGCCCCUCCUGGGCUGCGUUGGCUGAGCAAACCCGAGAGCGGGGCAACGGUCAGAGCGACAGAAAUGACUCGCUGGGGGAGAAGUGCAGCGAGAUGGGCUCCAGGAGAGAUGAGUCACUGCCGAGCUGCACUCCAGAAACAGCUCACAGAGCCAGCUGCUGCUGUUCAGAAGAUGAACUUACUGGGCUCUGCAGGCUGGCAACAGGGGCGCGGUAGAUGAGCUUGGCUUCAGCUAUUUCAGCGCACGCAGAAGGUGGAUCCAUUUGUGCCUGGGAAGAAUGGGAAGCCGGGCAUGCAGAAGCUGUCCUGAAGCUCUGGUGGUCAGCCCGGGCAGCUCCAACGCAGGCAGCGCUCCUUAUACCGCACUUACUCGUCUGUUAAUCAUUAAACACUGAUUAGAAAAGGC
rnacentral:lncRNA from 7 species